UGUUCGGAUUGCGGCGACGUGAGCGGUUCGCCGCCCGCGACGUCGCAAGAAGUCCACUGAACCUUAUCAUUUAGAGGAAGGAGAAGUCG
rnacentral:rRNA from 2 species